GUCAGGAUGGCCGAGCGGUCUAAGGCGCCAGACUCAAGGAUUACCUUCCCAGCAUGGCUGAGUGUGAGAGUUCUGGUCCACGAAUGUGGGCGUGGGUUCGAAUCCCACUUCUGACA
rnacentral:tRNA from 1 species